UACGUAGGGCGCGAGCGUUGUCCGGAAUUAUUGGGCGUAAAGAGCUCGUAGGCGGCUUGUUGCGUCGGAUGUGAAAGCCCGGGGCUUAACUCCGGGUCUGCAUUCGAUACGGGCAGGCUAGAGUUCGGUAGGGGAGAUCGGAAUUCCUGGUGUAGCGGUGAAAUGCGCAGAUAUCAGGAGGAACACCCGUGGCGAAAGCGGCUCUCUGGGCAGUAACUGACGCUGAGGAGCGAAAGCGUGGGGAGCGAACAGG
rnacentral:rRNA from 1 species